rnacentral:rRNA from 1 species
UGCAAGUCGAGGGGCAGCAUGAGUGUAGCAAUACAUUUGAUGGCGACCGGCAAACGGGUGCGGAACACGUACACAACCUUCCUAUAAGUGGGGAAUAGCCCAGAGAAAUUUGGAUUAAUACCCCGUAACAUAAUGAUGUGGCAUCACAUUAUUAUUAUAGCUACGGCGCUUAUUGAUGGGUGUGCGGCUGAUUAGAUAGUUGGCGGGGUAACGGCCCACCAAGUCUACGAUCAGUAGCUGAUGUGAGAGCAUGAUCAGCCACACGGGCACUGAGACACGGGCCCGACUCCUACGGGAGGCAGCAGUAAGGAAUAUUGGUCAAUGGACGCAAGUCUGAACCAGCCAUGCCGCGUGAAGGAUUAAGGUCCUCUGGAUUGUAAACUUCUUUUAUCUGGGACGAAAAAAGGCGAUUCUUCGUCACUUGACGGUACCAGAUGAAUAAGCACCGGCUAACUCCGUGCCAGCAGCCGCGGUAAUACGGAGGGUGCAAGCGUUAUCCGGAUUCACUGGGUUUAAAGGGUGCGUAGGCGGGUAGGUAAGUCAGUGGUGAAAUCCUGGAGCUUAACUCCAGAACUGCCAUUGAUACUAUCUAUCUUGAAUAUUGUGGAGGUAAGCGGAAUAUGUCAUGUAGCGGUGAAAUGCUUAGAUAUGACAUAGAAACACCUAUUGCGAAAGCAGCUUACUACGCAUAUAUUGACGCUGAGGCACGAAAGCGUGGGGAUCAAACAGGAUUAGAUACCCUGGUAGUCCACGCCCUAAAC